AUUUCUCACUUCUGCUGUUUUCAUGACUGUGACUCUCUUUCCCAGAAGCCUCUGGGAAAGCCUUAUUAACCCUCACUCUGCCAUUUAUUUUUUAUGCCCCCUUUCCUGCCUCGCUAAUCUCUCUUCCUUAUGCCUCCCAUCUCCUUGCUCGUGUCUUGGCUCUUCAUGUCAGGCUGAUAUUUGGUUGCACCUUCCUGUUUUUAACACUUCCUUCUCUAAUUUCUCUUGUUUCUGAUUGUUUCCACCCACGGACCCUGCCGAGUGCAAAGAAAGCUGAGGAUCUUGUGCAGUCGUGCACUUCUGUACAUACGACAGGAUAUUGGUGUUAAAAUAGCUUUCAGCACCUUCUUCUGGAGACAGCACCCAUGCCUGUGCGGGGCACCCCUAGCUUAUUGCUAUUGCAGCCCUUGGUGUAGUGGACAGGUCUGUGCCUUGGAUUCAAUUGGAUGGAGGACACAAUCAAGGUACUUGCCCCUCUCAUGGGAGGUGUACUCUGGGUGUUGGCUGAGAGAUGCUGCAUCUGGAACCCAAUCAGUCUUCUGCAACCCUAGAACAGAAUUGGGCCCUUCGUCCAUCGCCCCGGGCCCCUCAUCAUAGGACAGGAGAUUUCGGGAGCGGACUGAAAAACAAACAGAAAAGACCAUCAAGUGGCACCAACGGGUCCAAUGUCUAUAAACAAGAAGCAGCCACUUCCCCAAACUCCAGCAAACCUCCCGGAGACAAUACAUGCAGGGGACAGUCAGCAGAGAAGUAAAAGACUUACUUAGGCUGUGGGUAUAUAGGUCGGGUGUCAGCAGAGGAGCUGAUUUCACCGUCUGGGACCCUGAAGAAAAUUCUGGAAAGGAAGGGAUCAAGGACCCAAAAGCAAGAACAAAACACAGCACCAUCACCUGUAGGGAAGAGACAUUCCAUAGAAUGUUACACGUGGGAAACAAUUGGUCUCCAUCUGUAUGUUACACCCACAGAAUUGGUCUCCAUCUAUAUGGUGCCCACCCAGGAUUGGUCUGAGUCUAUAUCACACUCAUAGAAGAUUGGUCUUCAUCUGCCUCAUAUCCAUACAGAUUUUGUCUUCAUCUCACACAUAUCUGGUCUACAUUUGUCUCACCCACGCACAGGAUUGGUCAGCCUCUAUCUCCAUGUAGGACUGGUCUCCAUCUAUCUCCCACCGACACAGAAUUGGCCUCCAUCAGUUUCUCAUCAACACAAGAAUGAUCUCCAGUUGUCUCACACCCACAAACUAUUAGUCUCCAUCUGUCUCAUGUUCAGACAAGACUGGUUUCCAUGAUCCAUCAAACUCCACACAGAGGAUUGUGUCUCUGUUCCUCAAAAGGUCUCAGGCUUUGGCCCACAACAUUGGUCUCUGUCUCAACAUCACCAUAUGCUAUCUCAGGAUUGUCCUCCAUCUGUGAAUUAGUGAAUGGAUCGCAUGGGGGGGCCCACCACAUCUACAGCCCAAUAAAGUUCUCAUCUGAGAGAGAAUUUUGCAAUUUUCUUGGUUCAGACCUGA